GAAUCAAAGUUGUAUAAAAGGUGGCAUGACUGUAAAUUAAAAUAGACCUUUUUUUUCAAAUUAACAGAAGUUGUUUUCAGAUUACUUUUCCCCUUUUCUGUUUCACGCCCUAAUCAUUUUUGAGUCUCAAACUAAAUCCUGCAAAGAUCACCACCGAUUUGUCACGGCUCAACGGCAGCCACCGGUUGUCUCAAUUAGAGCCACUGGUGAUUGGCUUUCUUCGGCAGCUGCGUGUCUCUUCUUCAAUCUUUAUUCAGUAGUUUCUGUCGUGAGAACAUUUCUCUUCGUUCGUCGGCUUUUUCGCUUCUCUGCUGUUGGUCUUCUCUACUUGAGGGAGAAUGAUGAUUCCAUCAGAUUUCAAUGUUGAUUUCAACCAUCCAUUGUACUUGCAUCCAUCCAGUACUCCAGGUCUAAAUGAUACCUAUGGCGCUGUUAGGAGUCAAAUUUCGUUGAUGACCCUAUUGCCUACAGUCAAUCAGGCAUAUUCUAUGUUGGUACAGGAAGAGUCUCAAAGACUUCAUGCUUCAAGACCAGUAGCCUCGGAUCCAACGUCAGUGUAUUCAGCUAUAUGACUCACAAGAAACAGUUUAAUGGUGUUUGUGACCAUUGCAAAAUCAAGGGACACAAAAAUGAGAGCUGUUACAAACUAAUUGGGUAUCUUUCUGAUUUUAAGUUCUCUAGGAAGAAGGUAAAUAAUUCAGCUGGCUCUGUGAAUAGUGUGGUUACAGUUGAAUCUGUAGUUCAGGUUGUUGAAGUUGGUUCAUCUAGUGCUCUUCAAGUACAAGUACCGUAUUCACAUCAGCUCAAUAUCAACAACUAUUGAAUUUGUUGAGCAAAGACUCUUCGUCGGCACCUACUACGAGUUUGGCAGAAACUAGCUUGGCAGGUAUAGUCUUACCUUGUGAAUGGAUUCUGGACACUGGUGCCACAAGAAAUAUGCUGUCCAACUUUCACUGUUUGGAAUCAGCUGUUCCAUGUGUAUCUCUAUCUUAUGUUUGCUUACCUACUGGAUCAUCUUCGCUAAUAACACACAUUGGUUCUUGCACUGUUUCUCCUAGUAUUAAAUUAGCUAAUGUGUUGUAUAUACCAUACUUUCAUUACAAUUUACUUUCAAUUUCUAAACACACUAAAGACCUACAUUGUUCUAUUUCCUUUUAUCCUAAUUUUUGCAUAUUUCAAGACUUCUCAAGUGGCAAGAUGUUAGGGAUUGGUAAAGAACAAGUGGUCUGUACGUCCUUCGGCCUUCUCAACCUACUUUUUUGUCGAGUUCAGCAGUAACCAAGGGUAACAUUUCAUCUAACACAACUGCUACUACCGAUUUGUCCUUACUUUGGCAUUCCUGGCUUGGUCAUGCUUCUAUUUCGAGGAUAAGUAGAAUGCCUUUACAAUUAUGUAAUUUUUUGGAUAGUACUUCUAUACUUCAGUGUUCUGUUUGUCUUUUAGUUAAGCAAACUAGAUCGCCUUUCCAAUAAGCAAAACUUGGGCUGAGGCAGUUUUCUAUUCUUCAUUUAGACUUAUGGGGCCCAUAUAGGAUUUCAACCCGUAGUAAGCAUAGGUAUUUCUUGACCAUUGUGGAUGAUUUCUCCCGUAUGACUUGGGUGUAUCUUUUACAUUUGAAAAGUAAUGUUCUUGUACAAAUCAGACAAUUUUUUGUCAUAAUUAAAAAUCAAUUUUCAGCAA